CCCGCUUUAGGUUUAUUUUUUUUUUCCAUUCCAAGUGCAGCUGUGCAAGUUACAAAUGAUUUAUUAAAGUAAAUGAGUAAACAUGGUGUCAAAGGAAAUUACAAAUAAGGAUAGGCCGGAUUUUGAUGGAAAUAGUGGGGGAGGUGGCAAAAAUGUUAGGGGGGGGGAAGGUGGGGUGGUGCAGUGGUUUAGCUCUCGACCCCCAUGGAAAGUCAGGGCUUAGAACGGGCCAAAGUCAACGACGUGACGUAUGCAUGUAGUGCACACAUGCAUAUGUAUCAGUGUUGAUAUGAAUUAUGACUGUAUAUAACUCAUUCAAUUGUGCCCUUCAUUAUAUUACACAGAGAUGAAUGGCUAUCACUGUCUCAAUUUUACAGGAAAACGUUCUUACGAAGUGUAGACCCUAAGUCAAAUUUUCACUUUGAUCUAUCAUUGAAACUUUCCCAAGGGGAGGUGUAUGACUUUUCAGGAGAGGUGCAAAAAUUCUCAGAGGAGGCCCCACACCUCUCCUCAAAAUCCGGCCAUGCCCGGGAUCCUAAAUUUACCUUUUUCAAAUGUUCCUCAAAAGUGCGUAAAAACAAUGGAUCAUUAAAUUUGACCGUACAUGACGCCAAUAUGCAUGCAACAAGAAUACAAUAAUUUUAUUUAUACAGGGUAAUUCAGUGUAGAAACACUGGUAUAGCAAUGGAAGCCCUGCAUGUAAAUAAUAAUAAACUAAGUGUCCAUUAUAUAUAUUAACGUUACAUGUCUGAAAUGACAAAUAAGGAAGUAUGAUAUAUUGAUUCCUUAAACUACUUAUUAAGUGAAAUGUACACAGAUUAGAAGUUCAGAAUUUUGAAUUACUGAGACGAUAAACGAUCUUU